UUAAAUAAAUGAUCAGAAAUCCAUUACAGUAAAUUACUAUCAUUGUAAACAACUGUAGCAUUAAAUAAAAUGCAGUAACCAAUUAUUUGGAGCAAAUUGUCAUUACUUAAAUGUGCGUAAGAGUGCUCUUGAGUGUGCGUAGAUUUUGUUCUUGGAACAAAUCCAAGAUAAGAAAACAUUAGUGAAUGUCAGAAUCAUUUCAAAAAGUGCGUAAGUGGGGUUUGAGAACACAUUUCUUUGUAAGAAUGGUUGGUGAAUGAGGCCC